rnacentral:rRNA from 2 species
UACUCCUACGGGAGGCAGCAGUGGGGAAUAUUGGACAAUGGGCGCAAGCCUGAUCCAGCCAUGCCGCGUGAGUGAUGAAGGCCCUAGGGUUGUAAAGCUCUUUCACCGGUGAAGAUAAUGACGGUAACCGGAGAAGAAGCCCCGGCUAACUUCGUG